CUGGUCCUGAUGCUCACCCAGAGUGUUGCCACAAAUAAGCACAAGGUUGGUGUAACAUAUUAAGUUUGGCUUCACUUCUGUGGAACAGCUCAUGUGCUUAGGUCCAUGAUUUGUAUUUUGAUCCUUGUGCCGACUGUGUGUUAUUGACUCUGAGAACAUCAUUCCCUUGUCACAAAGCCCUUUUGUUGUGUAUUUUGAUGGCUGUUGCAGGUAAUGACAAACGAGUGCAGUGGCUCUGCGGGACUGAUGGCGAGGUCUGGGUUUGGAUUAUGGGAGAAGCUCCUGGAGACAAGCCUUAUGAGCAGCUUACAGAGGAACUUAUUGCAGAAAGAGCCAGGCAGCAAGCCCAGAAGGAAGCAGAAGAAUUAUGGAAGCAAAAAGAAGCAGAAAUCACAAAGAAGUUUCGAGAUGCUAUGGCGAAGGAGAAAGCUCGAAUAGUGGCAGAGAAGUGGAAGAUAGAGACAGAAGAUCGCAAAGCAGCCAAAAUGAUGGAGGAGAAAAUCCAGGAGGAAUUAAAGAAAAGAGAGGAAGAAGAGAGGCAAAGAGGUGAAGAGCAGAUACGGCAACAGGAGGAACGCAGAGCUCAAGAGCUGUACCUGAGCCUCAAGCAAGCCCAGCAGUAUAGCGCACAGAAUGAAAAGGAAGACCACGAAUGGGAAGAACAACUACGUCGCUCAAAAGCUGCGGAUGAGGAAAGGAGCCAUAAAGCACGCCGGGCCCGGGAUGAGUAUCGGCGGCAAUCCUUGCGGGCAAUCCAGAAAGGAAAAGUGGCUGGUCUCAGUAACCUGUUCCAGGCAGCUGGUCUGAAUAUCGAGCCAGAAGCAAAGCUGAAUGACGCCUGUCCCAUUCCAGCAUUCACCAUGACGGUAUCAACCAGUAAAGCCUGGGAACGGCCUCUGAGGCCUUUCUCCAGAGAAGUUAUUAUUCAGUGGUUCAAAGAAGAGCAGCUUCCACGCCGUGCUGGAUUCGAGAGGAACGCUAAUACUGUGGCGCCUUGGUUUCAUGGCAUUAUUAGUCGCCAGGAGGCAGAAGAGCUGCUGAUGAACAAGUCUGAGGGAGCAUUCCUAGUGCGGGUUAGUGAGAAAAUCUGGGGAUAUGCCCUGUCCUAUCGCCAUCAGAGUGGAUUCAAACAUUUUCUGGUGGAUGCUUCCGGAGACUUCUACAGCUUCUUAGGGGUGGAUCCCAACCGACAUGCCACACUUACAGACCUUAUCGAUUUCCACAAGGUAUUUACUUGCUACAUGCACAGAAUAUGAAAAACUGAACUCGAUUGAUGAAUAUUUCAAAAGGAAGAAGCAGUGUGAGCCUGCAUCUUAUACAGAAUUAGUCUUUACAGACAGGGCUGGCUCCAGGUUUGGGGAGUGAAGGCCAGCCCUGGGCAUGGUGACUGUGGUGGAGGAUUAUCUGAAGUACCAGAUGGCUGAGUCUAGCUACCAUUUUCAUUUCCCAUAAUGCCUCAAUGGUGUUGUGUCAAGGGCAUUGUGGGAAAUCAGUACAGCAGUUGGAUUCAACUGUCCAGAGCUGGUCCAAGUGCUGACACCCCCCCCCCCCGAAAACACACACACAUACACACACACUUUUGACUGCAGGUUCUACAUACUAGGGAGAAAUGCAUAUAAAUGCCUAUGAAAGGGAAAAUAAAAUGCAAAAACAACCAUUCUAUUAAGGGAAAUUGUUUGUAAAAAUGUGUAUAUUUUGGGUAAAUAUGCACUAAACUGUUGACAAAUGUAGCACAGCACAACCCAUGCAGCUCCUAUCACUUGGGAGCAUGUGAAAUGGGGGAACAAGCUUAAUACUUUCACAGUCUCCAUAUACAUACUAAAUCAGACUAUUGGCUCAUUCUCAGCUGCUUCCCAGUUCCUCUCCUCAAAGUUUUGCUCAGCCCUGUUACCUGUGUGCCUUUUAACUGGAGCUGUGGGGGCCUGAGUCAGAGGCUUUGUGAAUGCAAAGCACAUAGUCAGGCAGUGUAGAUAGAGCUAUUUUUCAUUCUGAUGUAAUGCUUCUGGGAGAGAGAAGAUGGGGAACUGGUAGUAUACAUGAUAUAGCAAGGGACCUGUGUAUUUUGUGCAAAAAUGGGGAGGGGAAGAGCCCAUCCUUAUCCAAGUUCUGUGCCAAGGCAAUCCGAGUCCCAUAUCAGGAAAAGCUCAGCUCAUCAAAAAAGAUGACGCAAGUUUAUUGACUUUGUGUGAUUUCUUUAUUUCCCCAUAAUUUAUUAUUUGGCAUUCUUUCCCUCUUCAUUAGCAAGCAGGGGCAAUAACCUUUACCCUACACCCAAAGGUUGGUAGUCUCAGUUAGACACCCUCCUUUGAUUUCUGAGAACCCAACUAGAUAUGUGUUUGUUUGUUUGUUUUUUAAAAGACUAACCAACCAAUCAAGGGUUGGGGAGGCGUGUCUCCCCAUUCAGAACCAGUCUUCCCUAUGUGCCAUGUAUUUGAAAUGGGAGGAAAGCUGACACAGGCACCGUUGGAAACUUUGCUUCCAUUGCAAAUAGCAGGCUUCUGGUUUGUGGUUCCAGUUUGUGCCACUGCAGAUGUAAACGGUUAAAGCUCUCUUUCCCCUACACCUGUUUUUGCGGUGGAAGGGAUGGGUCACUUGCACUAGCAAUUGGUUUUAUUUGUUUGUUUGUUUUAAAUUGCAAUGACAUCACUGUCAGCUUGGCCCUAAAAUUUCAGCUGGUGUUGCCCACAUACUGACAAGCUUAUGUUUGCAGCCACAAAAGCUAGAACAAAGAUGGGAAGGCUGGGACCCUCCUGGUACUGUCAGCUCCAUUCAGCCUGGGCAUUGCUCGGGGAUGAUGGGAGUUGCAGUCCAACAACAUCUGAAGGGUCAUGGGUCUAGAAUCUUGCACUAAAAAGACCAUAAAAUAAGAUAAAAUAAAAUAAAAUACAGCUGAGAUAGUCAGGAAGCUGAUUAUGGACCUAGUCUCACUUUCUGCAAGCUUACAGAUAGGGAUGCGCAAAUCUACCAAUUUUGGUUUAUCUAAGUUUCUCAUUUUUCCAAUAAUUUUUCCAAUCUGCAAUUUUUUUUUAAGUUCUCAUGAAAAUUGACCAGUGUGAAUUUCUCCAAAUGUACACAUCUUUGUAUGCAAUCUUGCCUAAUUCAUAUUUUUGCAAAGCAGUUUACCUUAAAUUAAUGCAUUUUGGUAUGCCAUUUUCACUAAUGUAUGCAUUUCUAUGCACAAUUUACCGUAGUAUACAAUUUUUUUUUACUCCAUCUUGGCUGACAAGCUGAAUUGCAAAAUUCAGAGAAGUGUGAAUUUCAAAAGAGAACAGUUGUUCAAGUUUGAGUAUUGCUUCGAAAAGUGCAUAUUAGGUGGGCUAACCCUUAAAAAGGAAAUCAGCCCUGAGUGCUCCCUGGAAGGACAGAUCGUGAAGCUGAGGCUCCAAUACUUUGGCCACCUCAUGAGAAGAGAAGAAUCCUUGGAAAAGACCCUGAUGUUGGGAAAGAUUGAGGGCACUAGGAGAAGGGGAAGACAGAGGACAAGAUGGUUGGACAGUGUUCUCGAAGCUACGAACAUGAGUUUGACCAAACUGCGGGAGGCAGUGCAAGACAGGAGUGCCUGGCAUGCUAUGGUCCAUGGGGUCACGAAGAGUCGGACACGACUAAACAACAACAACAAACCCUUAAAAAGGGAACUGAAUUGCCUGUCUCGCCCACUGCUACUUGCAGAAACAUAGCAUGCACACAACCUAGAGCAUAGUCACAGAACCAGUGACAAAAAGUCCUACAAACGUCACAUCCAGGGACUGCGGCAACUUCAGUCUCUACCUUCUUUCCCUAGAGUCAGGCUUGCACAAAAACUUUUGUCUUUCUUUUCCUCCCAGCUUGCUCAUCAUAGGCAAUAAGAGCACAAGAAAAGCCCAUCCAUCUAGGGAGGAAGCACAGGGACACCUGUCAAAAGCAAAACGUCCAUUAGCCUCUGACAUUCAAAAUAAAAUAGAUUGGGAUGUCCCCCGAUGAGAAAAAUCAAUGGCUGCAGCUAUGACAAGCUUGUUAGAGGACUUGCUUGGCCCCUGAAGUGAGCAGGCAAGUCUCGCUUAAUUGUCUGUGGUCAAAUGGGAAAGAGAUUUAACAGCGCCGUCUUGGGAUGUUGCCCCUUCCUUAUCUCCCCAGCCACUAACUCCGGUGCCUUUUUCAUCUGAGUGCACUCAGUGCAAAGAUAAAUACAGGAAAAAAAGUCAGAGCCAGCUGUGGUAAUGGCAGAAAAAUGCAAUGGUAUACAGGCACCAGCCAGUCUACCUGCUAUUAUUGAAUCUCAUAUAUAUAUACAGAGAGAGAGAGAGAGAGAGAGAGAGAGAGAGAGAGAGAGAGAGAGAGAGAGAGAGAGAGUUUAUAAAGUCCCAAAAGUCUAGUUCAUGUACAUUUAAACACAAUGCAGAAAAUGCUACAGGUAGCCCUCCUGAACCAAUAAUGUGCAGGUUUGUAGAUACAUUAGUUUUGUAUGUAGAUAUCCUUCAGGUGUGUGCUAAAAGCACUUUGCAGAAGCAGGGUUGUGGUUAGGGUCAUCAUUGGCUGUGUACACACACUUAAAGCAGAUUCGCCCACCACCUAGAACAGGCAUCCCCAAACUGCGGCCCUCCAGAUGUUUUGGCCUACAACUCCCAUGAUCCCUAGCUAAGAGGACCAGUGGUCAGGGAUGAUGGGAAUUGUAGUCCAAAACAUCUGGAGGGCCGGAGUUUGGGAAUGCCUGACCUAGAAUGUUAGGAGUGCUGGGAACUGUAGCACUACGAGAGGUAUACUACAUUUCCCCAGAUUCUUUGGAGGAAAGAUGUUCUUGAAAUGUAUAGUGUGUAUGCAGCCAUUGCCGGAACCGAGAGACUCCACUACUUUGCCUGCCUCAGAUCUACAGUCCAGAGUUCCGUGGGGAGAGGGAAUGGCUCUUAAACCAGUUUGUAAGUGGUGCAAAUGCAUGCCCCCAGUCCCUUAUGCCUGUUUUAGAUAUGUAAAGAGCAAAUGAUUGUGUUUCCGGCAACCCACCACCACCACAAGACUGGGGUAGGGGAAGGAAUGUUACCCUUUAGUCUUCCUCAGCACCUGGAAGAGCACUUUAUUUCCUGAUGUCAUUGCUGAGUGCCACAGCAUGAAGAUCAGGAGAUUAAUCUGUGGGGACUAGUUACAGGUAGGUAGCCGUGUUGGUCUGAGUCGAAGCAAAAUAAAAAAAUUCCUUCAGUAGCACCUUAAAGACCAACUAAGUUUAUAUUUUGGUAUGAGCUUUCGUGUGCAUGCAGGGUGUAUCUGAAGAAGUGUGCAUGCACACGAAAGCUCAUACCAAAAUAUAAACUUAGUUGGUCUUUAAGGUGCUACUGUGGGGACUAGCAAGACAUUUUCUGUGGCUUGUCCUUCCAGAGGUGGCCUGUGGACUAGCCAGGCCUGUUGCAGAGACAUAUCUUCACUAUGGAGCCAAGCAAGGGAUCCAUAUUACACCAGGCAGCUGUGAUCAUUGUGCCAGGGUCAAGAGUGGCUCUUCCAGGCCCAUACAAUUACAUACACAAUGUAUUUGUAUAACUUCACUCCAGUUAUCCAGAAACUACGCUAGUGAAGAAGGAACUCUUUUACAAGACCCUUGGCAUCCUAACAUAGGAUUGCCUCUUUCUCCAUGAAAGUCAAUUUUGCUACUGAUUUCAAUAGGCUGCACCAUUUUGUCUUUGGUUUUCCAGGGCCAGAUUUAGGUUUGAUGAGGCCCUAAGCUACUGAAGGUAAUGGGGCCCUUUAUAUGUCCAGCUGUCCUUUGUUGACAAUUUGUCGGUGUUUUUUUGAGUUGAAUAUAUGCUACAUGGUAAUUUGUGGAUGUAAUAGGUAUUUGAAGCCAUUUGCACAUAACAAAAUAUGUAUUUUAUCAAAGUACGUCCAGUUUUUUCCCCUGUAAAUUUUUUGGGGGCCUCCAAGAGAGUGGGGCCCUAAGCUAUAGCUUGUUUAGCUUAUAUGUAAAUCCGGCACUGGUUUUUUUUCCUGAUCUCUGGCUUUGGUUGUGUGUGCAUGCACAAUAUAUAUUUGAACAAAACAAACUAUACCCCCCCCUCCUGUGCGCAUACACACAGACACAAAACCUUUUCAGUUCCCUUGAGGCAUCUUAAUGUACCAGACAUGGCAAAAAGUGAAUCGUCAAUGAGUAAUGGCCUGUAAGCUAGGGCUGUCGAAAAUAAAUUCAUUUUAGAAAUGCUUCAGAUGAUUGCUGUUUAUGUAUAAGCAUCAGAUGAUCCAGAUACAAGUGAUUCAAUUGCAAACAGGCAGCAGGCAAGGGAACAUGCAUUUAAAAGGAGGCAGGGCCGGCAGAGGGUGGGAAGGAAGAAACUCAUAUGCAAGGCAAAGAUGAACAGGAAUGGGUGAAUAAUACAUCCUUCGACUUCUGCAUGAUUAGACAGUGCCACAUCCUAGAUGGAGAAAGAUAAUAGCUGCUAUUUCCAGGCUGAAAAUGAACAAUGGAAGAAAUAAUCACAUCCUCUGGUGGAGAGUUGCUUCUGGAGCCUUGCAGACAAACAAAGAACCCACCUGAUUAUAGCCCUUUAUUUGAAUGACUGUGGAGACUAUAGUCAAUAUUUAUGGAGAACAGAAAUAAUUAGGGAGAUGACUCCACCUUGAGAUAUAAGAUAGCAGCUUAUCACCAGCUAAUGAAUGGCAAAUGUUAACCAAGAAAAUGUCUUAUGUAGGCAAUCCAAUUUUUAAUUCGCAGCCAUUAUUAAUCUUCUUAGCCAUUUAAAACUGGAAGUGCGUGAAAACAAUUCCUCAACAAUUGUCCUUCAGAAUAGGGUUAAACCAUCAAUGGCGAUUAAAAAUACCCCCCCCCCGCAAAAUUUCCCUAAUAGCUGUAGCAAAAGAGAUGGUUGUUAAUGGAACUUAUUUAGCAUAUAGUGAGUUGUGAAAUGGUAGCAUUCAGGAGCUAGAUGUAUGCAACUGAAAAAGAUGCAGAUUAAUGGUAAGGCUAUGUAGAGAUAGGUCUUUUCUAGUCUUAAAACUAGGCAUGAUGUUAGCAGCCCCAUUAAACCUAGUCUUCCCAGGUAUGCAUAAAGUGGGGGGUGGGGUUUGAUUUUUGUUGUUGUUUAGUCGUUUAGUCGUGUCCGACUCUUCGUGACCCCAUGGACCAUAGCACGCCAGGCACUCCUGUCUUGCACUGCCUCCCGUAGUUUGGUCAAACUCAUGUUCGUAGCUUCGAGAACACUGUCCAACCAUCUCGUCCUCUGUCGUCCCCUUCUCCUAGUGCCCUCAAUCUUUCCCAACAUCAGAGUCUUUUCCAAGGAUUCUUCUCUUCUCAUGAGGUGGCCAAAGUAUUGGAGC